ensembl:misc_RNA Metazoa_SRP Metazoan signal recognition particle RNA
GCCAAGUGCACUGGCGCAUGCCUAUAGUCCCAGCUACUCAAGAGGCUGAGGCAAGAGGAUCACUUGAGCCCAAGGAGUUUUGACUAUAGUACAAUAUACCAAUCGGGUGUCUGCACUAAGUUCAGAUGAAUAUGGUGACCUCCUGGGAGUGGGGAACCAUCAGGUUGCCUAAGGAGGGGUGAACUGGCCUAGGUCAGAUAUGGAGCAGGUCAAAACUCACGUGCUGAUCAGGAGUGGGACUGCACCUGUGAAUAACCACAGCACUCCAGCCUGGGCAACAUAGAGAGAUCCUGCCUCU